CCCUUGUGGAGAGGAGCGAUCUCCUUUUACAACUGUCUGGGAUUUGUAUGGAGGUGGAAUUCGGCAGUUACAGAAAACCAGUAGGAGCCUUCUGAGCUCACAGAACCUCCAGAACAUCAGCUGGAAGUGCAAUGGCUGCAUCUGGAGACCCUGUGCCCCAGUCCUCGGGCUGAGCUUUGAAGAAGAGACCUCCAGCAGCACUGGUGAGUACAGAGAUGGCCACGGAGACAGAAAUGAAAGCGGCAGAGCACCGCGAGGGCACAGCCGAGGCUUGUGGAGACAGCGCUCCAACUCUCCAGACAGCAUGUCUACUUCUGGAGAACUCCUCCUGGGACUGAAGAUGUUAAAUGUGCAGCAGGAACCAAGUUGCACUGCCUCUGCUCUAUCGGCCUAUGAAUUAAGGAAGUCCAUGUGGAAAGAAGAGAGGAAUGCAAUUGAAAAAAAACAGAAUGGAGACCACAGAGAUCAGAAGCUGUCAAGCAGUUUCCCUGAGCUCCUGCCCUGCUCUGACGUCACCUACACUUGCAGCAAGAGGAACCAGGCUGACAUGGACCAGUCAGANGGAAAGAGGGCACAGAGGCCCUAGACUAGAAAAAAUUUCUCUCUUGUUUGGCCAAAAGGCUGGGUGUGGACAGAAUGGGAGACCAGGCAGCUUUCCUGGAAUAAGCAACUAUUUCUUUUGAUCCUCUGUGUUCUGGCCAUCUUUCUGGGGAACUUGAAAAAGUUUUCUGAAUUUAGGUUCCCAGUCAUUUCUAUACUUAGUCCUUAUUCUUGAUUGAAUCCAUUCUAGAACAAAAAGGCAAAUUUUACAGCAAUGUUGAUAAUCAGAGCUGUGUACACCAAGGAAAUGAAUACCUGUUAUCAAAAUGUUGGAAUCCUUCUCUAACACUUGAUAACAAACCCCUCCUCUGAGUCCCCAGCAUGUCGCUACUGCCACCGUGGCCACCCUGGCCCUAUUCCUAAAAUCUUUUGCAUCACCCCAUAUGGCAGCUCUUAAAGAAGCAACGUCUGGCCUCAGUAGAACGUGCCCCACAGUCCUGCUUCACCACCCCAUGACCGAUGUUCUUUCUAAUUGGCUGGUUCUUGGCUUUUAUAGCUAAGUUUAUUGCAUAUUAGCCUUGUAUAAAGAUCCCAGAAAAUAACAGGCAUGAAUCAAGUGGGCGGGUGUAGCACAAUGGGAAGUAAUGGGAAAUGUGGGAACCUGGAGGGCUCCCACCUCUUAAAGAAGCAGUUGCUAUGUUGUCGUUGCCAUGGGGGAAUGUAGGCUGAAGGUGCUAAAUCUUCUGUACUUCAAGAGAAACCAGAAAUUGUGCUUUUAAUAAAAAAUCUCUGAUUUCUUAACAUUGAGGUACCAUCAGUGUUGGCCUGCUAUUGUGUGGGCCCAGCUAGACUGGAUAGGCUCCAUGUGUCAUGAGUUUGCAACCCUGCUUUAAGCAUGUGGAGUUGUCAGAGCCUUCUUAUGCCUCACUCAUGAAACAGGCCAGAGGGAAGAUGCGGCCCUAUGGCUGGGUAAUUAAAUAUAAUUUCAAAUUGAAACUUUGAAGCAGUAAGUGAAAUUUAUAAUUACAGCAAUCUCCUUUUUUACUGUACUUUAGAUUUUGCCAAGUGUUAUCAAAUAUGGCAUUUGAGGCUUUCCCUGAUAAUCAGGGUACUACUAUGUGUUUUAAGAGUUGAAAAAAUCCACAUGGAAAGAUUAUGAAAAUUGCCAAAUAGCAUCCAGAUAUAUUCAGAAUUGGGUCUUCACUUUAGUACCAUUGAAUUGAUCCUUCCAAAACAUUUGUUUAAAAUGUCUAUUAUACCUUCAGUCUUAUAGAUAUACCAGAUGUAACACCAGGUAAUUAUUCUAGAACGAUAGCCUUUUGGACCCUAUUUCUCAUACUCAUUUGAAGUGAUCCAUCAGUAUAUGCAAAACAUGUCAUGAAGGUCAAAACAUGUGUUUGGAAUAGAUUACAUUAUUGUUACCAGCUCUUUAAUAAAAUUAUACAUCAAGUUCUUAGCCAUGUGAACUUUAAGUUCUUUCAGAGUGAUCAGAGCAGAAUUUCUUUGGCGAAUGGCCGGGGGUGGGAGUCAUGUGCCAGUCCAUAGCGGAGGGUUAAGAGGCAUUCAGUGUUUUCACUGUGUCCCCUUCAGCUUCUGUAAUUUGCUCUAAGAGGAGAUUGUCCUAGUUCUCUAUUCCUGCUUCACCGCAGAUGGACACAUAUGGUGCAGACACAGACCUGACCUAGAGCCUGGAACCACAUCCAGCUCAACUCAGCAAGGUCAGCAGAAACCCAGAUGACCCACUGGGCCAUAGGCAAGAAAAUAAAAAUGUGUUAAUAUAAUCUCCUGAGAUACGAGAGCCAGGGGGUUGUUUGUCAUGUGGCAUUAUUGAAGCAAUAUCUGACAAGGUUUUUAUAACCAUCUUAGUGUAAAUAAUAAUAUCCAUGCUUAGACCAUGAAAGAUUCAUCUUAACCAUAGACAAAAAUCUCAGCUAGCUCAAUAAGGAGAAUAUAUGCUUUUGGAGUAGUACAGCCUUUCUUCUUCUAAACUGGUAUUCCCAGUGUUGAUUGGAUAAAGAACUAAGGAAAGAAAAUGGAAAGUAAGAAACCACAUUUUCUUAAAAAUGUAAUGAAAUUGAGAUAGAAAGUGAUUAAUGACCUUGGAAAACAACAGUAUUGAAACACUGUUGCUGAUCCUGGAUAAGGUUGACCAUUACUAAGGAAAAACUAUGGAGUCCUUUGUUUGUAAAAGCAAAAACAAACACAAACACAUUUCUAAUUAAUUUUAUUAGUACAUUUUAGGUAUACAGUAUGACAUUCAUCAUUGGCGAUUUGCACCUUUACAUAAUCUAUAUUGGUUCUUCUUUUUCCCCCUUCCCCUGCCCUCCCUUCAACUCCUCCAAAUCACCCCCCCAUUUACAAAGACUUUGUUUCCUUUUUUUCUUUUUCUCAUAUUACACUUUUGCUUUUUACUGGUUGAAUUAUUUCCACUUCCUAUUGAUUGAAACAAGCUUUCUCUCUUUUACUUUUGUCAGCUUUCUUGAACUAAAAUGAAAAUUGUGUCUCAGAGAAUCUGAGGGAGAGCCAUCAGUUAUUUUUAACCCAAGCUAUGCUUCAGAAUCACCUAGGAAACUUUUCUAAAUUCUAGUUGCCUGGCAUCUCUCGCAGAAAUUCUGAUUUAAUUGGUCUGAGUAGAGCUGGGCUAAUGUACGUGGGGAUCCACCCCCCACCCCUGUGAUUAUCAUGUGCAGCUGGAAUUGAAAAUCAUUGUCCUUACAGGAGACGGGAGAUGGUUAAUGACAAAGUUAAUAAAAAUAUCCUUACAGUAAAUGAGAACAAUUUCUCUAUUUUUUAUUGUAGUAAAAUCCACGUAACACAAAGUUUACCAUCUUAACCACUGCAAGUGUACACAGUGGUAUUAAAUAUAUGCAUCAUGUUGUGCCACCAUCUGUCACCUGAAGUCUUUUCAUCUUGUAAAGCUGAAAUUCUGUACCCACUCCCUGAUUCUGCCAGCCCCUGGCAACCACCAUUCAUUCCACUUUCUGUCUCCAAGAUUCUGACUACUCUAAGCACAUUGUUUAAAUGGAAUCAUGCAGUACAGGUACUAGUGGGAGAUACUGCAGGUUCAGUACCACACCACUACAACGAAGUAAAUGUCUCCGUGAAGUAAGUCAAACAAUUCUUUUGGUUUUUCUAGUGCAUACAAAUGUUAUGUUUACACUCUAUUAUUUAUUAAGCAUCCAAUGGCAUUUUGUCUAAAAUAUGUACAUAUAUUAAUUUUAAAAUAUUUUAUUGCUAAAAAAUGCUAAUGAUUAUCAGAGCUGUUGGAAAAACAUUUUUUAAUGUGCUUCUUAGCCAUUUGUAGAUCUUCUUUGGGGAAGUGUUUAUUCAGUUGUGUGUUUUUUGUGUUGUUGAGCUUUAGUAGUUCAUAUUAUGGAGAUUAAGCCUUUAUCAGACAUAUUAUUGCAAAUAUUUUCUUUCUGUCAGUAGCUCUUAGGGUUUGUGUCUAGAUGGCCCCCCAAAGCUUCAGGCAGUCAUAGAGCUUUUUCAGAGGUAGCUGCAUCUAGAGUGUGUGAUGCUGGGAUUAAGGGUGUGCGAUUACUAAACCAGUCAACGGAUUAGUUUGGUACUUUCCUAAUUCAGGUAGUCUGGAUAAAAUGAAAGGGGCAGAAAGAGGAUGUUAAGGCUCCCGUUGCUUUGCUACCUUCGGUCCACCAUGAACUGUUGCCCCUCUGCCAUGCCAGCCUGCCGUGGAGCCAUUGUGGACUGAAGUCUCUACAAACUGCAAGGUAAAUAAACCUUUCCUCUUUUAACCUUGGGAGUUGGGUAUUUUGUCUCAGCAAUGAGAAAAGUAACUAAGACAAGAGGUUACAUUUUACUCUGUAGAAAUUGUCCUGUAAUACACAAUUUUUAAAAGUUUUUG
rnacentral:lncRNA from 1 species